rnacentral:rRNA from 1 species
GACGAACGCUGGCGGCGUGCCUAAUACAUGCAAGUAGAACGCACAGUUUAUACCGUAGCUUGCUACACCAUAGACUGUGAGUUGCGAACGGGUGAGUAACGCGUAGGUAACUUGCCUGGUAGCGGGGGAUAACUAUUGGAAACGAUAGCUAAUAUCGCAUAAUAUUGAUUAUUGCAUGAUAAUUAAUUGAAAGGUGCAAUUGCACCACUACCAGAUGGACCUGCGUUGUAUUAGCUAGUAGGUGAGGUAACGGCCCACCUAGGCGACGAUACAUAGCCGACCUGGGGGGGUGGUCGGCCACACUGGGACUGAGGCACGGCCCAGGCUCCUACGGGAGGCAGCAGUAGGGGAUCAUCGGCAAUGGGCGGAAGUCUGACCGAGCCACGCCCCGUGAGUGGAGAAGGUUUUCGGAUCGUAAAGCUCUGUUGUAAGAGAAGAACGGGUGUGAGAGUGGAAAGUUCACGCUGUGACGGUAUCUUACCAGAAAGGGACGGCUAACUACGUG